CGGGUAACCGUCUUGCUUCUUCGAUCCUGCUGAUCGCGCAGACUUUUUGUUGUCGUCCUCAACAGAAUCACCUGCAUUCCCGUAGGAGUCCUCGUUCUCCUUGCCUUUCCCUUUCUCGUUUACGUUCGCGUCGACAUUCUCGUUUUCUUUGUCGCGACUCGCCUGCUUCCGUCCGAGAGCUUCCUGCCGCUGCGGCCACCGGUGCUUCACCACUUGCAAACGGUCGCCUAUCGACUCCCAGGAUUCCUCGCUGUUGCUACGUAUUCUCGGACACAGUGUCCCGCUAUCCGUGUACCUUGGUAACGGGUUAGACGUCUCUGCAUAAAUGAUGAAACGCGAGUCGCUGGAUUAGAAGAAGAAUUAGAAGAAGAAUUAAUAGAAGGGGUAGAAGUAGAAGAAGGGGGGAAACGAACAACAGAAGAAAUGUAAGGAGAAAAGAAAAGAAGAGAGGCACACAGCUACAGAAACAAGGUUACCGUGAUCAACUUAUGGAUAGAUCAUCGCGUUAAAGACAUCAAAGACAUUAAAGACAUUAAAGACAAUCUGUACCAAGAAGGUUGCAAUAGACGGUGUAAAACUUCACGCACAAGCGAACACAACACUGAGUAAACUCGAUUUUCGCAUUGUUCUACCUUCGGCUGGUGUAUAGUCAGUCGGUGGCUCACAAUGAAUGCGUCCGCUGCCCACAGAUUAAUCGACUCCGGUCCUAAGUGGAAGACUAACCGAAAAUAUGAAUGUCGAAGCAGAGUGAAAGAAGAUGAAGAAGAAGAAGAAGAGAGCAAAGAAUAAAAGACAAAAAAUAAUGAAACCCACCAGCAUCCAAAGACUUGGUUUCCCUACUGGCAGACACGGUGGACCUGCGCGGCUCCUGAGCCUCGGCUUUCGAUUCAAAUUCUCUUUUUCGAACGGCAACGUUUGGCACACUUCGCUUACUCGAGAGCCGCGACAGCUCGCUCUUGUAGAGGCUGGUCCGAUCGCCGGUCGGCUCGUCGUCGUCGCUCAGGAGCC